UCCCGCAGCACUGACACAACAUGAUAACAUCAUGGCAUUGACACACUGGUGCUGUUGUGGUUCUGGCCUACUAAACAAGAAUAAUUUAAGACUGGUGUUGCUGACGCUCUUCAUCAUCAUCUACCUCAUGUGCGGAGCCGUGAUCUUCUCCGCACUGGAGCAGCCAAAGGAGCAGGAGGCAAAGCUGCGGUGGGAGCAGAGGUUGGAGCUCUUCAGGCUGAGGUCCAACCUGAACCGGACAGAGAUCGACAGCUUUCUCCAGAGCUAUGAAGAAGCCAUGGCAGUGGGGAUCCGAGUGGACGCCCUCAGGCCCAGAUGGGACUUCACUGGAGCUUUCUUUUUCGUGGUGGUCAUGCUGUCAUCUAUAGGUUUUGGCAUGACGACACCUGCGACCGUCAGUGGGAAGGUCUUCCUGAUGUUCUACGGCCUCCUCGGCUGUUCCGCCACGAUCCUCUUCUUCAACCUGUUUCUGGAGCGGGUCAUCACCGUCAUCGCCAUCGUGCUCAAGUCCUGCCACGAGCGGCGGCAGAACAAAGCGGUGUUCCCGCAAAGCGGUGGGAAAUUCAUAGAGGAACGUGGAGACGUGGAGGGACGAGAAGAAACCCAUCCCGGCUGGAAGCCGUCAGUCUACUGUGUGAUGCUUAUUCUGGGAGCCGCCGCCGUCCUGGUGUCCUGCUGUGCCUCCCUGAUGUACUCAGCCGCCGAAGGCUGGGGUUACCUCGACUCGCUCUACUUCUGCUUCGUGGCCUUCAGCACCAUAGGGUUUGGAGAUAUGGUCAGCAGCCAGCGGCUGGUGUACGAAGGCCAAGCCACCACGGCGUAUCAACUGGGCAACUUCUUGUUCAUCCUGACAGGCGUUUGCUGCAUCUACUCCCUCUUCAACGUCAUCUCCAUCGUCAUCAAGCAGGUCCUGAACUGGCUGCUCAGGAGACUUGAAGCCCCGUGUCGCUGCUGUUUAUCGAGAAAGGGCCCCCUUUCUCACAGACAUCCCCGUCGGAACGUGGUGGCCCCGGGACAGAUGCGCUCCCGCAGAGACCCGUCUAUUGAAACGGACGGCAUCAACGAGAGUGAGACCGAUACUGGUCGGAGGAUGUCGGGAGAGAUGAUCUCCAUUAGAGACUUUCUUGCUGCAAACAAGGUGGGAGAUUUGACUCCUCAAAGGUAUCACCACAACAACAUGUGUGCUACGUUGCUAUUAUAAUUUUUCCAGUCAAUAUCGUCGCCGUCUCUCGCCAAAACCAGCUUUAAUCUGGAUGAAAUGUAUACUGCAGAUUCGUCCCAUUAAAGUUAUCUACAGAUGAGACUAUGUAAGAAGGUGGGGGGUUUUAAGUACUUGGGCUCAACAGUCCAGGACAGUGGAGGGUGUGACAAAGAGGUGAAGAAGCGGGUGCAGGCAUGGUGGAAUCAUUGGAGAAAAGUGUCAGGUGUGAUGUGUGACAAAAGAGUGUCGGCAAGGAUGAAAGGGAAAGUGUCCAAAAGGGUGGUGAGGCCAACAAUGUUGUAUGGUUUGGAAACAGUGGCACUGAGGAAAAGACAGGAGGCAGAGCUGGAGGUAGCAGAGAUGAAGAUGCUGAGCUUCUCUCUGGGAGUGAGCAGGAUGGAUAGGAUCAGAGGGACAGCACAUGUGCUCAGGUGUUUAGGAGACCAAGUCAGAGAGGCUCGGUGGAGAUGGUUUGGACAUGUACAGAGGAGAGAGAGAGAGCCAGUACAUUGGUAGAUGAAGAUGUUGAGGUUGGAACUGCCAGGCAGAAGGUGGAGAGGAAGGCCACAGAGGAGAUGGAUGGAGGUGGUGAAGGAGGACAUGAGGUGUGUAGGUUUGAGAGAAGAGGAAGCAGAGGACAAGGGGAGAUGGAGGAAGAUGAUCCGCUGCGGCCACCACAAAAGAAGACGCUAAUGUUGACUGGGUGGCGUUAGGAAGUGCAGUGGAAAAUGGGAACAUAUGCUACAAUUGAAAGCCAGAUGCAUCGAUGUGCAACACUUGAGGCUGACGGGUGUGUCAACAUAGGACGUCCAGGCUGACUUAAAGCACAGUUCCUUGAUGUCCAACAUUGUAUGGGGACGACAAAAAAAGUACUCAUUUCAGUAGCUGCUGGAUUUGUCGCAGGGUAAACUAAUAGUGGCAGUUAUUUUCAUCUUGAUCUGAAUCUUGAUCUCUAAUGUCUUCAUGAGUCCUUAACAAUGGGUCCUGGAUCCAGACGAUCCGGAUCCAGUUUUGCAUUUCACAUAUUUCCUGACGAUUUCACCCAAAAUCCAUCCAUAACUUUUCAGGUUUUUUCAGGUUAUUUUUAGUAGUCCCACAGCUGGCUUUAAAAAGUAUAAAAAUACAUUCCUGAGGAGGAUAUAAGUGCACAAUUACUGUUUUGAUUGAUUUAAGUGGCUCUAUAAGGAGCCUUUUAGUGUCUUGCACUGAUUACAGUGUUUUACCAUGUAUGACUGCUGAGCUCCUGGGAAGAAAACCCAGCUGGGCCCAACGUUUGCGAAACCCCUCCAGCUGAUAUGAAGGCUUGUAUUAGACUGACUAGCACAAUGGUAACUCAAAGUAUUGGAGUUUAUCAUUAUGAAUAGCAAAUAUCAAGAAGAUUUUUCUUACGAUUUGGUUACUGACAGGACGAUGAGAUAUCAUGAAACAGUAUUGCAGUGUUGAUGAAACGGUGCCCUAGUUUCAGAUGCCACUAGAUGGCGCUCUUUCUUUAGAAAUGAUGUGAGGUUUCAUUGAAUUAGUCGCUGAAGUCCAAACAUUUCACAGCAGACAGUGCCCUCUGGUGGCCUCUGCAAACCAGGACACUGUUUCAUGAAACCUAGUGAUGCACUGGUGAGGCUUCAUGAAAAAGUGUCCCACUAGAUGGCACUAUUUGCUCUAUAAUCUUUGUCUUCAAAAGACUAAAUCAAUGGGACCUCACAUUAUAUUUAAACUGAAAGUGCCACCCACUGACCUCUGAAAAGGAGGACACUGUUUCAUGAAGCUUCAUCUACCCAUCACUAGGUUUGGUUAUAGUUAGGGUGAGGUCCUCAAACAUUGAAUUAUUUGCCAGAGAAAGUACUGUACGUUCAUGAUGGAGCUGGAUUGGCCUCCUGAUCUCUGCUUCAGUGUCUGGAAUCUGUCUCCAAGACCAAGACCAUCACGGAACCAGAGUCUCCUGAGCUAGCUUUUAUUUUAUUCAUUUGAAUUUAUAGCAUUGGAUUGAAGACUGAAUGGCCAGAAAAGGGAGAGAAGAUGCAAUUUGACCAGCAGCAGGUAGAAACAAGACGUCGGUCAGGGAGACCUGAAGAAGAGGAACAGGGUGCUGAAGGUUCGGUCCUAAGAAGAAAUGGAGGACAGACAAUGAGGGACAGCAGUAAGUUGGGAAAGUGAGGUAUUGCAUUGAGGGAGGACAUCACAUGACAAGGAAAAUAAUGGGCUCAUUUGGAUUUUAACAAUCUGAAGCAGCCGUUCUAAAACGCAUUUCAUUGCCCUUCAUUAUGCAGGAAAAUCUAACGUGAGUAAAAAGCACAUUCGCUUUUAGAGCGAUACUUCUGGAUGCUUCCCAAAUAAAAUGCAAUUAUUUUUUAAUGUGUUUUUCUGCAGUUUCAUCUUGAUCUCAUCAAGUGUAGAUGGCAGUUUAUGUAUCCAUAGCGACCGAUUAGUCUGGCUGUGUAAUUUUAGGUGGCAAUGUUUUAGAGCCUUUGGGCUGUGUAAACAAUAUUGCUUUUUCUCAUUGCUUACCUCAUUGCACCGGUGAAAAGUUGCUCCUGGGGGGAACAGUUUUUAAAUCUGCCUCAUCAGCUCAGGAAUCUAUUGUCCAGAGGAUGAGUGAAGACGCAGGCGAAAACACUCCAGCCAGUUGGGACCAAUCGUCCAGAGCAGCAGGAGAGGUGAAGAAGAGAGUGCAGGCAGGGUGGAUGAUGGAAAUGACAGCCAUUAUCAUGUGAACUUAGCAAUCAUGCAGAAGCAGCUCUCAGAGAUGGCCAACGGUCAUCCUCGCCCCUGCGGCUCCAGCUCCCGUCAGAACGGUUUCUCCGGAGGAGUGGGAGCUCUUGGCAUCAUGAAUAACCGGUUGGCGGAGACCAGCGUGGAC